GACACGCUGGCCUCUGGCUCGCGGGUCUGACCCUUUAGUCGAGCGGUUAGCGACGUCUCCUGCGGUGCGGGCGAUACGGGUUCGCUUCCCGGCCGCGGCAGUUCCUGUGGUUGCGUGGUCCCCCGAAUUCGCUACAUCGGUGUCAGAAGUGGGAUGGAGCGACCGUAAGGCCAUCGGAAGAGUAUGCGCCCUGAGCCGUGAAGGAGCUGAUAUGCUUAAGCGCGGGGACGCGCUUCCCGAAGGCGGAGGGGGGAAGAAAGACCAGCCUACUUACCAACACCAGAUCCUAAGGUAACUUCAGGAGCUGAGAGAUAGGAACAGGAUUUUACGACGGCAGCUGCAACACAGAUGGAGAAGAAGAUUACCUGGAGUCCGGAUAUCAGUGAGGCGGAAACGGAGUCAGAUGAACGGACCAAUCAGAAAGAAGAUCACACACAUCCAUAUUCAGUCAACACUUUGUAUAGUAUAAAGACUGGGUCAGGGAAAGGAGAGAGAGUCAGACUUCGUGAACUGACACAAUCUGUUGUUUGUCAGGGAUAGGAAGAUCUAGACCCAGAGCUCUGUAUGCUUUAUCCAUUUACGGCUAAAU